rnacentral:rRNA from 1 species
GACGAACGCUGGCGGCGUGCCUAAUACAUGCAAGUAGAACGCUGAAGGACGAGCUUGCUUCUCUGGAUGAGUUGCGAACGGGUGAGUAACGCGUAGGUAACCUGCCUGGUAGCGGGGGAUAACUAUUGGAAACGAUAGCUAAUACCGCAUAAGAGUAGAUGUCGCAUGACAUUUGCUUAAAAGGUGCAAUUGCAUCACUACCAGAUGGACCUGCGUUGUAUUAGCUAGUUGGUGAGGUAACGGCUCACCAAGGCAACGAUACAUAGCCGACCUGAGAGGGUGAUCGGCCACACUGGGACUGAGACACGGCCCAGACUCCUACGGGAGGCAGCAGUAGGGAAUCUUCGGCAAUGGACGGAAGUCUGACCGAGCAACGCCGCGUGAGUGAAGAAGGUUUUCGGAUCGUAAAGCUCUGUUGUAAGAGAAGAACGAGUGUGAGAGUGGAAAGUUCACACUGUGACGGUAUCUUACCAGAAAGGGACGGCUAACUACGUG